rnacentral:rRNA from 1 species
CAGCACCUCAAGUGGUCAGGAUGAUUAUUGGGCCUAAAGCAUCCGUAGCCGGCGCUGUAAGUUUUCGGUUAAAUCUGUACGCUCAACGUACAGGCUGCCGGGAAUACUGCAGCGCUAGGGAGUGGGAGAGGUAGACGGUACUCGGUAGGAAGGGGUAAAAUCCUUUGAUCUAUUGAUGACCACCUGUGGCGAAGGCGGUCUACCAGAACACGUCCGACGGUGAGGGAUGAAAGCUGGGGGAGCAAACCGGAUUAGAGACCCGAUAGUCC